rnacentral:rRNA from 1 species
AUACGUAGGGGGCGAGCGUUGUCCGGAAUGAUUGGGCGUAAAGGGCGCGUAGGCGGCCCGGUAAGUCUGGAGUGAAAGUCCUGUUUUUAAGAUGGGAAUUGCUUUGGAUACUGUCGGGCUUGAGUGCAGGAGAGGUAAGUGGAAUUCCCAGUGUAGCGGUGAAAUGCGUAGAGAUUGGGAGGAACACCAGUGGCGAAGGCGACUUACUGGACUGUAACUGACGCUGAGGCGCGAAAGUGUGGGGAGCAAACGGGAUUAGAUACCCUGGUAGUCCACACUGUAAACGAUGAAUGCUAGGUGUAGGGGGUAUCGACCCCUUCUGUGCCGCAGUCAACACAAUAAGCAUUCCGCCUGGGGAGUACGGCCGCAAGGUUGAAACUCAAAGGAAUUGACGGGG